GAUGAACGCUGGCGGCGUGCCUAAUACAUGCAAGUAGAACGCUGAAGGAGGAGCUUGCUCUUCUGGAUGAGUUGCGAACGGGUGAGUAACGCGUAGGUAACCUGCCUGGUAGCGGGGGAUAACUAUUGGAAACGAUAGCUAAUACCGCAUGACAACAGUUAUUGCAUGUUAACUGUUUAAAAGGGGCAACUGCUCCACUACCAGAUGGACCUGCGUUGUAUUAGCUAGUUGGUGAGGUAACGGCUCACCAAGGCGACGAUACAUAGCCGACCUGAGAGGGUGAUCGGCCACACUGGGACUGAGACACGGCCCAGACUCCUACGGGAGGCAGCAGUAGGGAAUCGUCGGCAAUGGACGGAAGUCUGACCGAGCAACGCCGCGUGAGUGAAGAAGGUUUUCGGAUCGUAAAGCUCUGUUGUAAGAGAAGAACGAGUGUGAGAGUGGAAAGUUCACACUGUGACGGUAUCUUACCAGAAAGGGACGGCUAACUACGUG
rnacentral:rRNA from 1 species